UAAUCUUCCUAAAAAAAAAGAAAAAAGAGAAGUGACCAGAGACUCCAUGGGUCUAAUUCUGAUGACCGGAAGCAAGCUCUCCUGAGAUGCUGACUGCACUUCUGAGCCCCCUUCCCCUGCCUGACCCAUCCUGAUCAGGCCGGACACAUACAACAGAUGAGAAUUUUGACGCUUUAAAAUCUGCCACCACCCAGGAGUAUGGUUGAUUUGGACUAGACUGAAAAAUAUAGUUGUUCAGGGAAGCAGGGAGUCCAGCCAAAUUUGAGGUAUGGGCUUCAGAGCACCUGCUCCUCUGGCUGCUUUAAUAUAGCUCCUGGCAAAUCGACCCACUUGUUUACACAGCCUGCCUCACCUCACAGGAUUCUUUGGAGAAUCAAAUGAGAUCCCGAGAGAGUUAGACUCCUACGGUGGAAAGAGCAGUCAGAUGAUCGAAAAUACCUGAAUUCUAAUCCUGGGACUUGACUUAAUUUCUCUGAGUUUUUGUGUUCUUCUCUGCAGAAUGGGGGUAGGAAUAUCCGCUCUGUAUAUCUCACGGAGUUGCUGCACGUAUCACGUGAGACGAUCUAUGUGAACACACUUUUUAGCCCCGAUUCUGUUAUGGACGGAGACUUCCGGUCACUGUUUACUAGGAUGUGGUUUAUGCCAGUUUCUCUCUCCCAGGAGACAGCCCGCAUCACACAGCAUUUCACUCAGCUAUGUGGAUGAGCACUGACAAACUCAAUUUUCCAAAGGCAAGAGUGAGUUGACACCAUGCUGUGGCAGUUGUCCUGAUGGGGACAAAUGACUUGUUUCAUUCCAAGGUGGAACCCACCUUCUCAGAGAAGCACGCUUGCACCUAAGAGUAUGGGAGACAAGGAGGUGA